rnacentral:rRNA from 1 species
CCUACGGGAGGCAGCAGUAGGGAAUUUUCGUCAAUGGGCGCAAGCCUGAACGAGCGAUGCCGCGUGAGUGAAGAAGGCCUUCGGGUCGUAAAGCUCUGUUGUGGGGGAAAAAAGGCAGCAUCAGGAAAUGGGUGCUGACUGAUGGUGCCCCGCCAGAAAGUCACGGCUAACUACGUGCCAGCACCCGCGGUAAUACGUAGGUGGCGGGCGUUAUCCGGAAGGAUUGGGCGUAAGGGGUGCGCAGGCGGUCCUGGAAGGCUGGGGUGAAACGAAUGAGCUCAACUCAUGCAUGGGUUUGGAAACUGGAGGACUGGAGAGCAGGAGAGGGCGGUGGAACUCCAUGUGUAGCGGUAAAAUGCGUAGAUAUAUGGAAGAACACCAGUGGCGAAGGCGGCCGCCUGGCCUGUUGCUGACGCUGAGGCACGAAAGCGCGGGGAGCAAAUAGGAUUAGAUACCCGUGUAGUC